UUUUUAUUCCACAUUUCUGCAGUUAUAUUGAUGAUAUAUAAAUAUUUUAAGAAGCAUCUCCACUCUAUUUAAAUGAUUGGUUCUUGCUAUUAAAUCUGAGCCCUUGAUUAUACUUCCGUAUUUUAUUGUUGCUAUGUUAAUAUGUUUCCCCCUAUUGAUAUAUAUCAUAUAUUUGUCUGAUGCUUUACUCUUUAGGUAGUAUGGCAUCGGUACAGAUACUAAGCUCCCACGAAAUGGGAGCCUCUGGUUGAUCGGGGGUGGUUUAGGCGGUAUGUGGGCCCAGUUUAGCCUAUGGUCGGUUUAUAAAUGGGCUUUUAACUGGGGCGUGCGAGGCCUUUUUACCCUGUGUAGCUGGUUCCUUCUGGUCGGGAAAAUAUCUGGUGCACCGGAGCUUGUGGUGCUACCGGUGCACCGAACUCAUAUUGUGCUUUUAAAAUGUUCAAAAAUUCUGAAAAAAAUUUAGCACACUUGCACAACAUCAAUGUAGAUUGUCACAAAAAUUCAAGUCAAAAUUCGAAACAUUACUCCAAAAACAAAAAUGACAAAUUCAACACUGAAUAGUACAUAACAUAACUUGGGCUUUAGAUUUGGCUCAUUAUUGCACUGGUGUCAAAUUUGUUAUUUUGGUAUCUCAAAAAAUAUUUCAACUUUUUAUAUGAAACUUUGUGACAUCAUACAUUGAUGUUAUUAUGUUAACAUGAAACAUGCUAGAAUUUUUUUCAGAUUUUUAAAAAUAUUCUAUGGCAUCCGGUGCACCGGUAGCACCACAAAUGCGGGUGCACCGGAUACAUUCCCCCUUCUGGUCUAGCGUUGUCUCUCCCGAUAGCAUAGGCGGUGGCGGCUGGGUGUCUUGCCCUUUUCUUCCAUUCGCGGUGGAGGGCGGCCCUGUUCUUGUUGGCUGCUGCGUGUGCUGUUCUUUCCGGAGGGUGAGCUGCUCCUGUCGCUGGGGUCCUGUUGCUGCCGUCUUCCUUUCUGCACCGGCCUCUCUGAUCUGCUGGGUUGGUGGAGGUGUGGGGGGCGGCGGCUGCUCGUGGGGUUUGGUCUGCUUGUUCAUCUGUUCGUUUUUUGUUCCUUCUACGCUAGCCACGAUGCUUCUUGUUAGGCGGAUCUUCUCUUUAGGGAAAAAGAUCUGACUGUCUCUUCCUAUUCGUAUAUAUAGUUCAUGUUAUUUCUUUUUGUUGAACAAACAACGCUCCACGCCGCCGUCUCCUUCCGCCGCAAUCCCGUCCCCGCCCCCCUCCCAUCUCCUUCACCUGUGCUCGGUCACAGGGGGUGGUGGCGCAUGCAGGAGGGCGGAGGUUGUGUCUAUGUGGGAUGUGGAACUCGGGCCGCAGCAGCAUGCCGGCCCCGUCCUUGCCUCGAGGCUGCAGCCGCCGCGUCGGCUACGUCCCGUCACCUUGGGUCGGCCAGCGCCGAAGCCCUCGCAAGGAGUUGCUCAUCAUCCUAUUGAUCUGCCUCGACGUGAACUACAUGACGGUGCACACGACGGCUGUGUCUUCUCCUCACUCUUUUGGCCGUGAGUCCUGCUGCCCCUUGCUUCCUGCUUGCUCAGGCAGCGACAACGCCAUACCUGACGAGGAUGCACGCUCGACCAUGAGGACGAGACCAGGACGGCGUGAUUGGAGGGAUGACAACGCCGCAGAGUGCUGCGGCCAGCUGCUACCCUGUAGUCGCCGCCAGCCAUGGGAUCGACACGCCCCGCGCCUCCACUAUGAGGACCCAACCACCGGAGCAGGCAUCCAGCAACAACAACACGAACUGACUACUUGACAAGAAAGUGUCAUCUGACUGCAGACCUCGAAAAAACACCCGUUCCUAAGAGCACCGAACGCCCCAGAACAAUGCUCAACCGCCUUGCCACACCAUACCAAAAAAUAAAACAAAAAAUCCACCAGAGCAGCAAACUACUACAAAACAGAAAAAGCAAAACGAACCAACGGAAAAAUGGG